rnacentral:rRNA from 1 species
UACGUAGGGGGCAAGCGUUGUCCGGAUUCAUUGGGCGUAAAGCGCGUGUAGGCGGCUAUGUAAGUCGGGCGUGAAAUCCCACGGCUCAACCGUGGAAGUGCACCCGAAACUGCGUAGCUAGAGUCCUGGAGAGGAAGGUGGAAUGCUUGGUGUAGAGGUGAAAUUCGUAGAUAUCAAGCGGAACACCGGUGGCGAAGGCGGCCUUCUGGACAGUGACUGACGCUGAGACGCGAAAGCGUGGGGAGCAAACAGGG